UUUUUUUUUUUUUUUUCUUUUAGCUACACCCACAGCAUGCGGAAGUUCCCAGGCCAGGGACCUGAACUGCUGCAAUGACAACAUCAGAUCCUUAACCUGCUAUGCCACAAGGAACUCCUAUUCAAAUUUUUUUUUAAAGAUAUAUUUAAAAAUAAGAAUACACCAGCCAGAAUGGCCAUCAUCAAAAAGUCUACAAACAAUAAAUGCUGGAGAGGGUGUGGAGAAAAGGAAACCCCAUUGCACUGUUGGUGGGAAUGUAAAUUGGUGCAACGACUGUAGAAAACAAUACGGCGAUUCCUUAGAAAACUAAAAAUAGAAUUACCAUUUGAUCUGGCAAUCCCACUCCUGGACAGCUAUCCAGAAAAAACCAUGACUUGAAAAGAAACAUGUACUCCAAUGUUCAUUGCAGCACUACAUACAAUAGCCAAGACAUGGAAACCACCUGAAUGUCCAUCAACAGAGGAGUGGAUAAAGAAGAUGUGGUACAUAAACACAAUGGAAUAUUACUCUGCCAUUAAGAGGGAAGAAAUAAUGGCAUUUGCAGCAACAUGGAUGGAUCUAGAAAUUAUCAUGCUAAGUGAAGUUAGUCAGUGAGACACCAACAUCAUAUGCUAUUACUUACAUGUGGAAUCUAAAAAAAGGAUACAACGAACUUCUUUGCAGAACAGAUACUGACUCAGACUUUGAAAAACUUAAGGUUUCCAAAUGAGACAGGUUGGGGGGGAUGGGCUGGGGGUGUGGGAUGGAAAUGCUAUAAAAUACGUUGUGAUGAUCACUGUACAACUAUAAAUGCAGUAAAAUUCAUUGAGUAUAAAUAAUAAAAAUUAAAAAUAAAAAUAAGAAUAGAAAUGAUUCCCUGGCUCAUACUGGAUUAGGCGCUUAGCAGCCUUAAAACAAACAAACAAAAAUUUAGAUACUUCAACCACACUCAAGAAUAAAUUUCAGGAGUUCCCGUUGUGACUCAAUGGGAUUAAUGAUGUCUCUGUAACAAAAGGACACAGGUCUGAUCCCUGACCUAGCACAGUAGGUUAAUGAUCUGGUGUUGCCUCAGCUGUGGCAUAGGUUGCAACCUCAGCUUGGAUCUCAUCUCAGGCCCAGAAACUCCAAAUGCCCCAGGACAGCCAUGAGGGGGAGGGGGAAAUACAAUAAAUUUCAGGUGAAUUUUUUAAAGUUCAGUACUAAAAAUAUAAAGUCAUAAAUUAAAAUAGAUUAUUUUUGCUAGAGUAAAAUCUGAAACUUCAAAAUUGAUACAAAAUACAACAGACUGCAGAUUUGACUAUAUACAAAUUUCAAACUCAUGCACAUUAAAAACAAUAGCAAAAAAAAAAUCAAUAAACUGUAAGCCAACUGGAGAAAAUAUUUGUAGCAAAUUUUUUAGACAGUUAAAACUUGGGGCAUUUAUUAUAAAGAGUUCUACAAAUUGGUUUUUUUCAAGUUUUAAGAACUUAAAAUGUUGAUAAGAACAAAAGACAAAAAGACAAUGAAAAAACACAACUACUGGAGUUCCUGUUGUGGUGCAGCAGUAAUGAACCAGACUAGAAUCCAGGAGGACAUGGGUUCAAUCCCUGUCCUCCAUCAGUGGGUUAAAGAUCCUGCAUUGUCAUGAGCUAUGGUGUAGGUUACAGACGAGGCUCAGAUCUGGCAUUGCUUUGGCACAGACCAGCAGCUGUAGCUCUGAUUCAACCCCUAGCCUGAGAACCUCCAUAUGCCGCAGGUGUGGCCCUAAAAAUACAGGGAAAAAAAAAAAAAGUGGAGAAAGGCUCUACCUUGACAAUCCAAAAGAUACAAACAGGAGUUUCCUUGGGGCUCAACGGUUAAUGAACCCAACUAGGAUCCGUGAGGAUGCAGAUUAGAUCCCUAGCCUUGCUCAAUGGGUUAAGGAUCCGGUGUUGCUGUCAGCUGUGGCAGAGGUCGCAGAUCCCAUAUUGCUGUGGCUGUGCUGUAGGCCGGCGGCUGCAGCUCUGAUUCGUCCCCUAGCUGGAAACCUCCAUAUGCCCCAGAUUUGGCCCUAAAAAGCAAAAAAAAAAAAAGUAAAACAAGCUGCCAUUUUAUAUUACUCAUCAAAUAAUUUUAUUUGGCAAAUUAUAAUACCAAACUCUGAUAAAUGUUUAGUAAAAUCAACACUCAUAGACAACUUUCAGAAAAUGAUUUCAGUCAAAAGAUGUUAUUUCUGGAAUUCUACUCUAAGGAAGUAAUCCUAAAAAUGGAGGAAUCUUAAAUGAAUGUUUACCUCAGCAAAAUGUAAUAAGUGAAAAGUUGGAAGAAACUUAAAUAGCCAGUAAUAAUGCAAGAGUAAAUUAUGGGCAAUCCAGGCAAUGUAAUAUCAAGUAAAAAGAAAAAUUAUAAUUAUGAAAAUAAAAUAAUUUGAAAAAAUAGGAUAUGUACUAUGCGAUAAAAACAGAGUUCUGAUUAAAGAACACUGGACUGAAAUACAUUUAAUUUCACUCCCUUCUUAAAGCCCACUAAAACUCAAAAAAAGGAUUGUUUUCUUUUCUUGUUGUUGUUUUUGGCUGCAUCGUGCAGUGGUUUGAUGUGGGAUCUCAGUUCCCAGACCAGGGAUUGAACACUGGCCCCAUUGGUAAAAACGCUGAAUCCAAAUCACUAGACCACAAGGGAACUCCCUGUUUUCUUCUUUAAAUGCAUAAACCCAAAUAGAAAAAAAAAAUCAGGAUAAGACAUAAAACUAAGAAAACUCGGGAAGCUGUAAAGCAGCUUAAAGGACUCAGUAGAUGUAAUAAAGCUGAAUCUCUAAGCUGACCAGAGAAGGCGAGCUUUUUAUAUGGCAGAAUGCCAUGAAGCCUCAGAAUUAGUUGGACCAGGGUACUUCUAGGUGUAGGAGGGUAGGAGUAAUGAAGGCAGUUAUGCUAUUGGCUCAAAGUUAUUUAAGAAACAGUGAUAUUCCAGAGAUCUCCAACACUGUUCCACACAGCCUGGCCACCAAGCCUCCCAACCAUAGCAAAAGAUCAGAAGUUUACUGUCUAGAAGAUAGAAAACACUUUUCUGGACACCAGACAUAAAUGGAUUAAACACAUGAAUGGGAAUGUAGACAUUCCCCUCUUCCAUCUCUAAGUUUCCAGUGUCUGGCAGUCAGACUUUACCCUCCAGACAGAAGACCUGAAUGGACUUCUCUGAGUAAAGACCUAAAUAUACUGACUUGGAGGUGAGGGUGGAGGGGUUCCACAAUGAAAAUGCUCAGUAACAAGCCCCACUAACACAGAUUUUUUUUUUUUUUUUUUUUUUUUGUCUUUUCAGGGCCACACCUGUGGCAUAUGAACGUUCCCAGGCUGGGGGGUCAAAGCCAGGGAUCAAACCUGCAUCCUCAUGAAUGUUAGUCAGAAUCGUUUCCACUGCGCCACGAUGGGAACUCCAACAUAGAACUUCUAAUCAGCAUUAUGAGCAGAGAAACAAGAUGAUUAGGCAUUUGUGAAAUGCCUCUAAUAUAAAAGAAACAAAAUAACAGGAAAAAAUUUUUGAGGAAACAGUCUGCAGUGGGGGAAAAAUUCUUAAAAACAUACCAUAAAUAUCCUCAAAGAGAAAAGAUAUGAAAAAUUGAGAAAAAAGAACAAGCUAUUAUAACAAAAUUCAUAGAAAAAAAAAAGGCUCUUAAGGACAUAUAGAUGGCCGACGCUCACAAGUAAAGGUGUUCGGGAGUUCCUGUUGAGGCUCAGAGGUGACGAACCCGACUAGUAUCCAUGCGGAUUCGGGUUUGAUCUCUGGCCUUGCUCAGUGUAUCGGGGAUCCGUCGUUGCUGUGAGCCGUAGGUUGCUGAUUCAGCUUGGACCCCACACUGCUGUGGCUGUGGUAAAGGCCGGCAGCUGUGGCUCCAAUUCAACCUCUACUUUGGAAACUUCCAUAUGCUCUGUGAAUCUUAUGUACGUGGUCAUAAAGUAAAGACUACGUAUUUAUCUAACCAAAAUUACCACAUUACUAUAGUGGUAGAGUAAAGUAACAGGGAGAGGGGAAGGGGAAGUGGCUACGGUGGAAAGGGGGAAAACAGCUAAAUUUGCGUGCUCAGAAGUAGGAAGUCAAAAGAGAAUGUCUAGAAUAUACAACUGUCUCUUCAGAGAGGAGAAAAUACCAAGGAAGAUAAGGCAACUGUCUGUUAUUCAACAAAACUUAUACAAACUAUUUAAUACUUUAUAUGCAUGUAUGACACCAAUAAAAACAGACAUCUCAGAAAAAACUAAAGGAUACAAAACUACUUGUGUUAUGAUUAAAACAAUAAAACACACUGAUUCGAAAAAAGCAUAAAAGCAAAUGACUAGCUGUGGGGUGACAGGAUCAUUAAUGGGAUUCUCUCCCUUUUCCAAUCUUGCAGUAAAACUGUUGUACUGCUUUUACAAUUUUUAAACAAAUUUUAUAGACAUGCUAUUGGUUAUCAGAUGACAUUCUUGUCUUUGUUUACAAUAUUCCCUCCUUCUCUGUGGAUACUACCCUGCUUUUUACAACGCCACCUGACUAUCUAAUCCUCCUUUUGACUUGGUUAAAACAUCACCUCCUGUUUACUUUCAGCCCCAAAUUACUCUUUCUUCCGUUACCCUGCUUCAUCACAUAAGAAUAAUAAGCUCCUGGAGUUUCUGCUGUGGCUCACCGGUAACAAAUCUGACUAAUAUCCAUGAGGUCUUGGUUUCAAUUCCUGGCUCUGCUCAGUGGGUUAAGGAUCCAGGAUUACCACAAGCUGUGGAGUAAGGCACAAAUGUGGCUUGGAUCUGGCAUGGCUGUGGCUGUAGGCCUGCAGCUGCAGCGCAGAUUCGACCCUUAGCCUAGGAACUUCCAUAUGCCAAAGGUGCAGCCCUAAAAAGGAAAAAAGGGGUGGGAGGGAAUAUAAUUUCUUCCUAUUAAAUUUCAUCUUUCUACUUUAAUUUUUUUUUUAAGGCCACACACAAAGCAUAUGGAGGUUCCAAGGCUAGGGGUCAAAUCGGAGCUGUAGCUGCCAGCCUAUGCCAUGGCCACAGCAACACCAGAUCCUAGCCGCAUCUGAGACUACACCACAGCUCACAGCAAUUCUGGAUCCUUAACCCACUGAGCAGAGCCAGGGAUUGAGCCUGCAUUCUCAUGGAUGCUAGUCAGAUUCAUUUCCACUGAGCCACGAUGGAAACUCCUACUUUAACAUUUUUAAAAUAAGCUACCUACAUGAGAAAAAGAACACACACACAUAUAUACAGCAGUAAUUGGCACAACACUGUAAAUCAACUACACUUUAACAAUAAAAAAUUAAAAAUAAAAUAAUCUACCUUUAACUUUUCUAUAUAAAUUGGGUUGGCAAAGUGUUAUUCAAAUCUGUAAUAGGAACUUAUUUAGAUUACCUUAAGGAUAAACUCCAAAUGUCUUAAAUUCUUCAUAAGCUAAUAAAAGAAACAUCUAUCAGACAAUUCUCUAAACUCUGAUGUUGAAGAGAAUGUACUGUAUUUUUUAGAAAAUUUUUUUCAAUUACAUCGAUCAACAAGUCCUAGAGCCUUAACCUGAUCAGAUACUGUCAACAAAAACACUUUUAAUGGUGAUGCCAAACAGCCUCAAUUUUUCUGCAGCACAAAAAACUUUUAAAAAGCUGUUAAAAGGCAAAGGAAAUAAAUUAAAAGAGCUGUUGAAAGCUUCAUAAAAUACAAAUAUAUUUUCAUAAAACAAGUGGUUGGUAAACACACAAAAAGCAUUUACAUAUUAACCUGAAAAAUUACUUUAAUUCUGCUGAAAAACCAAAAGAAAUGGAACUCCUUAUUAUAGCUAAAUAAGAAACAAACACAGGUCAUUCAUGAGGUGGCUUAACACAUGAUCACAUGAUGCUGACCCUUUUUUUUGGUAAUAAGAAAAAUAGUUGUAAAAAUACAAUUUUAAUUGCAUUUUAAAGAGACAAUAAAAAUCACCUUCAAACUCACAAUACAGUGAUAACCUGUUAAUCUCUUAAUGCUUUGCAAUACAUUUUUCAAAUUUGUAUUUCUUUACAUGUACAUAAUCAUUACAAAAAUGAGGAGUUCCCACUGCGGUACAAUUGGAUCCACAGCAUCUUGGAGGCAGUGGGACACAGGUUUGAUUCCUGGCCCAGCACAGUGGAUUAAGGAUCCAGUGUUGUUCUAGCUGUGGAUU
rnacentral:lncRNA from 1 species